rnacentral:rRNA from 1 species
UACGGGGGGUGCGAGCGUUGUCCGGAAUCACUGGGCGUAAAGGGCGCGUAGGUGGUUUGAUAAGGGUGUGGUGAAAGUCCGGGGCUCAACCCCGGAUCUGCCGUGCCGACUGUCAAACUCGAGGACUGUAGAGGCAGACGGAAUUCCGGGUGUAGCGGUGGAAUGCGUAGAGAUCCGGAGGAAGACCGGUGGCGAAGGCGGUCUGCUGGGCAGUUUCUGACACUGAGGCGCGACAGCGUGGG